UGGAUAAGUGAAUAUCUUGGAUAAUAAGGAGGGAUUAAGGAAAAGCCUAUUAAACAUCAAAUUAGGUUAUGAUUUUACAAAUUAAGCACCAAAACUUCAUGUUAUACAACAAAUUUGACAGAAAAAGUAGUUCAAUACGCAGUAAUGUUAUGUUGUAAUUACUGUAUUUACGAAUUUAGCACCAAAAUAUCACGAUAUAUUGAAAACAUUGACUACAAAAAUGGCUUGGAUUAUCCAGAGGCUUGGAUAAGCGAGGCUUGGAUUAGUGAGACUCUAUUGCAUAUAUAUAUCACUUAAGAACAAACCUACAGAACCUAUCUUGUUCAUAACGGGGACUGCCUGUAGAGUGGGACUAGAACAGAAUUACUUUUAUUGUUAUUGUACUUUGCCCAACAAAAUUAUAUGCCUUCCCCAGCACACACCACAAAACAACACCCCAUCCCUCCACACUCCCAUCCCACCACACCGCCCUCAGUGCCAUAUCAAUGCGAAGCCAUGGAACUCAAUAUAAUUACAGCUCUGGAUAAAAGCUCUCUCUCAGUCUGUUUGUCCUUGUCUUUGUCACCCUGUACCAUCUGCCAGAUGGUAAUAAUUUAAAAAAAGAAUAUGCUGGGUGUCAGCCUCUACUUUACCUUCAAUCAUUAUCAACAAACUUUCUGUAAGAGUUAAAUUAGCACCCUCAUUUGCCUCUCAACCAAAUUUUUUUUUAUCAAGUCCCAGUUUGUUUGCUUUUUUGGAAUGCCAUAAUUAUUUUUUAGUAAGUACGUCAAUUUGUCCAUAUUCAUUAUUUCCAAAACCUUAUUUAGCCAGCAACUCAAUUCCGGAAUUUCUUUCUUUUUCCAAUAUCUGGCAUAUGUUAUUCUUGCUGCCGUUGUGAGAUAAUUAAAAAGAAUUUCCUUAUUUUUAUCACUUUUGAUAUUAAACAUCCCCAGAAGAAAGUGUUUGGGAUCCAGUUCUAUAUUAAUUUGCAACAUCUUUUGUAUUGCUUGGUGGAUUUUCUUCCAAUAAUUUUUCGCCUUUUUGCACGUCCACCAACAGUGGUAAAAAGUUCCCACUUGGUCGUUGCAUUUCCAGCAUUUAUUUGAAGUUUUAUUAUUAAAAUUUGAUAAUUUUUGGGGGGUCAGAUACCAGCGGUAAAACAUUUUGAUCCAAUUCUCUUUCAAUUCUAUUGCAGGUGGGUUUUAAUCUAGAAUUCCAGGCCUUUUCCCAUUUCACUAAGUAUAUUGUUUUACCCAGGUUUUGGGCCCAUUUAACCAUGCUUUCUUUUACUGGGACCGUUUCCGUCUCCCACUCAAUUAAUUUUGUGUAAAUUAUAGAUAUUUGUUUCUUUUCCAAUUUCAUUACCUUGUCCCAAAAGCUCUCUUUUUCUUCGAAUCCUAAUAUUCUAUCUUUGUUAUAAUAUUCUUUUAGUUGCAUAUAUUGAAACCAUCCCACAUUACGGAAUUUGUUAUUGAUCUCUUCUUGGCUUUUUAUAAUAUAUAUCCCCUUUUCCUUAGUUAAGAUAUCUUUAUAUCUGGGCCAAAUUUCUCCUCCUAUCUCUCUCCUCUGGCAUGCAGAAUCAGAAAAUAUGAAUAGAGAAACAAACAAAUGGAUCAAAGAUUGUAUCUAUUUAAUGUAUCUGUGUAAGAGAUGUAUUCAAUGUAUCUGUGUAAGAGAUGGAAGUGACGAGUUUUACUUUUUAUUCUUUAUUUUUUAUUUUUACUAUCAUUAUUUCGGGGUUUUUUUUUUCCUCUUCCUCUUUUUCUCUCUCUUUUCUUUCUAUCUACUCAUUGCACUUCUGUCUCUAAAGUUCUUAUGCGUUUUCACAUUCUCACUGUAAAUUUUAUUUGGAAACUCAAUAAAAAUUAUUCAAAAAAAAAAAAAAAGAAUAUGCUGGGUGGGAUGAAUCUCCAAGAAUGCUCUGAGUUAACUUGAGGCUGCGGGACCUAUAGAGUUCUUCCAAAGAGGGGAGAAAGAGGGCAGCCAAUGAUAAUCUGUGCCGAACAGUGACACCAGGAACUUACAACUGGCCACCCGCUCCACUUGGUUUCCAUGUAUGACCAAGGGCUGGAUUUCUGGUCUGUUCUUUCUGUAGCCUAGUAUAAACUCCGUAGUCUUAGUGAUGUUAAGAACCAGAUUAUUGUCCCUCCAGCACAAGAGCAGCCAUAUUCCCUCAAUCUGGAUACUAUACUCCUAUUGAUGUAGCCUAGAAUCACAUUGGCUUUUUUAGCUCCUGCAUCACAUUUUGUUGACACAUUUUCGCCUUGUGGUCUACUGAAACUCCUAGAUUCCUUUCUAAACUUGGUGCUAACUGGUGUAAUUUUCUGUUCAUACUAACCUGGGAAUACUCUGGCUGAAGAACAUGCAUAGAACAGGGGAUUCAACCUGGUGGUCCAUAGGGCCACUUCCAAAUCUUUGGUUCUAGGAAGCCUUGUGAAUCUACCAUAGAAUGAGGGUAUCCAAAAUCAAUCUAUCUAUCUAUCUAUCUAUCUAUCUAUCUAUCUAUCUAUCUAUCUAUCUAUCCAUCCAUCUACCUAUCUAUCUAUCUACUUAUCUACCUACCUACGAGGGUUGAAUGAAAAGUAAUGCCUCCACCUUCGUAACUCCUCAGCACAUGGCAGUCCUGGUCUGCGGCAGGUCCUGGCUUGUUCAGGAGACUCUCCUUUACAGUUCCAUUUGGUGGGAAGCCUUAGCAUUGAACGGUUGUGUUGUUAAAGUGCGAAGGGUGGAACCCGAGGUGGAGCCCGAGGCUGUAGCGCACACGGGAGAGCAAGCCAGUGCAAUUAACUGCAAUGAAUCACUGACUAGGAGGUCAUAAGCUCGAGGCCCGCUCGGAGCUAUGUUGUUGUUUGUCUUUGUCCUAUGUUAAAAGGCAUUGAAUGUUUGCCUAAUAUGUGUAAUGUGAUCCGCCCUGAGUCCCCUUCGGGGUGAGAAGGGCGGAAUAUAAAUGCUGUAAAUAAAUAAAUAAAUAAAUAAAUAAACCCUGUGCAGACGGGGAAGCCUUAGCAUUGAAUUAUUGUGUUGUUAAAGUGCGAAGUAUGGAACCCUGCGCAGACGGUCAGUCCAUGCAACUCAAGCAAUGUGCAGUCAUUGAAUUCUUGACAGCAGAAGGUGUCACCCCAAAGGAAAUUCAUCAGAGAAUGCAAGCUGUUUGUGAUGAUUGUGUUGAUGUGAGUAUUGUGCAUCAUUGAGCAAAUAAGUUUAAAGAUGUUGAGGUGGGAGCAUCUGACUUGCGUGACAAGCAAAAAGUUGGACGUCCUGUGACAGCAACCACCGAGUUUCACAAGCAAAAGGUUGACAGGUUGAUUCAGGACAAUCAUUGUAUCACUCAGAGAGACAUUUCAAGCAUAAUCAGCAUUUCACAAGAAUGCGUGGGUCACAUUAUUGCUUUGCUUGGCUAUCGGAAGAUCUGUGCACGAUGGGGACUGUGAGACGCCGGUUGCGGAAACAGAGUGUCAACUUCUUCUGUGACAGCUUCAGAAAACUUGUUCAUUGUUGGCAGAAAUGUAUCCAAUUGUCUGGUGAUGAUGUGGAAAAGUGAAUAGUGGUAGUUAAAGAGCACAUUCUAAGGAUUAUUUCUGCGUUUGAUUUAUUAAAAUAUUCCCAUCCAAACCCAAGUAAUGAAGGUGGAGGCAUUACUUUUCAUUCAACCCUCGUAUCUAAUCUAUCUAUGUCUUCUGUUUAGAUAGACAGCUCAAGAAAUAGGCACCCUUCCUUCCAGAUGGCCAGAUGAUCUUAAUUCCUCAUACCAAUCUGCCCUGAGAAGCCCCAGUCUUCAAAGAAGCAUUUCAAAGAAGUGGAUUUGAAGUAUCCUGGAAUGCCACCUUGAUCCAACCUGAUGCUCAGGCGCCACAGCUUGUCUCCGAUUAUAAUCUGACACAUUGAAUUCCCUGAUGUUUGUGCAUUUUUAAACCACGGCACAACAAUUGUAUUGCUUUCCCAGUUGUGAACUAUUGCAAAUGUCUGAAUGGUGUGCAACCUGCAAAUGGGGAUGGCUGUUUUCAAUGUCAAGUUGUCCCUCCAGAUUUGGCUGUUUAAUGUGUUGUCAAAGGUUUCCAUGGCCAGAAUCACAGGGUUGUUGUGUGUUUUCUGGGCUGUCUGGCCAUGUUCCAGAAAUAUUCUCUCCUAACGUUUUGCCCACAUCUAUGGCAGGCAUCCUCAGAGGCUGUGAGGUAUAUGGAGAAACUAAGCAAGGAAGGUUUAUGUAUCUGUGGAAGUUCCUGGGUGGGGGGAAGGUGAAGCUGGGAAAGCCAUUUAAUGCUAAUUGGGGUGAUUAAUUACAACAUUCACCGUGGCCUCCAACAGAUGAGAGUUCUCCCCCCCCCCCCCCCCCCAGGAACGUCCACAGAUAUAUAAAGUUUCCUUGCUGUUGUGGUUCAGUCUAAUGAUGAAGGGGGAUUUGGGUUUAUGCAGGCUGACCAAAGCAAUGCUGAAGAGAGAAAUCUCAAAGGCUCUAAUGCUGGAAAUGUUGAAGUCUCUAGCUUGGAAUUGUCAGAGAGGCCGCAGGCUAGCGAGGAAACAGAAACUGAUGAUAAGGGUGACCUUUCCCAGGAGUUUGAACAGCAACAAGUUCCAGGUGUUUCUGGCAGUGACUCAGAGGAGGCUUCCUUAGAUAUACGAGGUUAAGGUUAAAGAUUCAUUGUUCCAGAUGUUCCCUUAGAAUCGCUAGUGGGACCUCAAGGACAGAUAAAUGCUUAGUUGUUGUAUGUCUUUUGGGCUUUGUGGCUAUGUUCCAGAAGUAUUCUCUCCUGACGUUUCGCCCACAUCUAUGGCAGGCAUCCUCAGAGGUUGUGAGGCAUGAAUAAACUAGGCAAGGUAAAUAUAUAUUUGUGGAGAGUCCAGGGUGUGACAAGAGUCCUUUGUCAGUUGGAAGCCAGCGCUAAUGUUUCAGUUAAUCACCCUAAUUCACCUAAAUCACCCUAAAAUUUCCUGAACAUCAGGAAAAACUUCCUGACUGUGAGAGCUGUUCGGCAGUGGAACUCUCUGCCCCAGACUGUGGUGGAGGCUCCUUCUUUGGAGGCUUUUAAGCAGAGGCUGGAUGGCCAUCUGUCGGGGGUGUUUUGAAUGCGAUUUUCUGCUUCUUGGCAGGGGGUUGGACUGGAUGGCCCAUGAGGUCUCUUCCAACUCUACUAUUCUAUGAUUCUAUGAUUCUAAUUAGCAUUGGAAAGAUUUGUCUCUUGCCUGAGGGGCAUCCUUUGUUCAGAGUUAUUAGCCAUCCUUGGGGCUCCACUGCCCUCAGAGUGUUGCUUCCCAUCUACUGUUCUGAUUUUUGAGUUUUUUAAAACUGGUAGCCAGAUUUUGUUCAUUUUCAUGGUUUCCUCCUUUCUGUUGAAGUCUGUUAAAUGCUUUUUUGGCUUGUAAACAUGGGUAAAUAUACGGGAGAGACAGGAAAAGAUUUCAGAUGAAGCAAUGUUGAUUUUUGGAAGCACACCUCCUGCCUUGUCUAAGGAUUCUCAUUUAUAUUCAUGCCUGGAAUCUGUUUUGGAUUUUAUGCUGAAGUUCAUAUUGCCUUGUUUUCAGGACUGGGGGAGGGACAAAGUUUGCCCAUGCCUGCUUUAAAGCAAAGUCUAGAUGGCCAUCCAUCAAGAAAGCUUGGAUUGUGCCUUCAGAAGGACUGGAUGACCCUUGGGGUUUCUUCCAACUCUUUGAAGUUCCUCCAUAAAAUAUACAAUUAUCAGGACCACAGUUUCUCUGAAGCAAAGAGAGAGAAAUCCCUUCCCACCAUUGAAUGGUGUCACCUCUGAAAGCCAUGAUUAGAGAUUUCAAGUUGGGUGCCUUUGACGUCAAAGGAAGCAUGCCGGGUUUAGCCAUUUAAGCUCACUUGUCGAUGGAUGUCCAGAAUCAGCAGCAUCCACCGCGGUCCUUUUUAUCCUGGGCGAUGACCGAGCCAGUAUAGACUUCGUUUUGGUUUGAUUCUCCAUAAUGCUAAUGGGUUAGGUGCACUUGGUUCCACUCCUCAGCUGAGGCCUCUCUGGCUUGGUUGGACCUGCCGGUAGUUACACUACUGCAAGCACAGCCCUCAGAGUCCUCAGAAUGGUUAAGCUCCCCCAUCAUAAACUGGACACAGGCGGAACUGGACAAUUUGGACAGAAAAACAAGAAAA